rnacentral:tRNA from 1 species
CGCGGGGUAGAGCAGUUGGCAGCUCGUCAGGCUCAUAACCUGAAGGUCGGUGGUUCGAGUCCACCCUCCGCUA